UGAUGAAGGGUUUCGGCUCGUAAAGCUCUGUUAUGAGGGAAGAACACGUACCGUUCGAAUAGGGGGGUAUCUUGACGGUACCUCAUCAGAAAGCCACGGCUAACUACGUGCCAGCAGCCGCGGUAAUACGGAGGGGGCAAGCGUUGUCCGGAAUUAUUGGGGGUAAAGCGCGCGCAGGCGGCCUCUUAAGUCUGAUGUGAAAUCUUGCGGCUCAACCGCAAGCGGCCAUUGGAAACUGGGGGGCUUGAGUACAGAAGAGGAGAGUGGAAUUCCACGUGUAGCGGUGAAAUGCGUAGAUAUGUGGAGGAACACCAGUGGCGAAGGCGACUCUCUGGUCUGUAACUGACGCUGAGGCGCGAAAGCGUGGGGAGCAAACAGGAUUAGAUACCCUGGUAGUCCACGCCGUAAACGAUGAGUGCUAAGUGUUAGA
rnacentral:rRNA from 1 species